UGGAGAUGAGGCCAUGGAUUUGACUGCUU
rnacentral:piRNA from 1 species